rnacentral:rRNA from 1 species
CCUACGUGUGGCAGCAGUGGGGGAUAUUGCACAAUGGGGGAAACCCUGAUGCAGCGACGCCGCGUGAGUGAAGUAGUGUUUCGGUAUGUAAAGCUCUAUCAGCAGGGAAGAAAAUGACGGUACCUGAUUAAGGAGCCCCGGCUAACUACGUUCCAGCAGCCGCGGUAAUACGUAGGGGGCAAGCGUUAUUCGGAUUUACUGGGUGUAAAGGGAGCGUAGACGGUGAUGCAAGUCAGAAGUGAAAGCCCGGGGCGCAACGCCGGGACUGCUUUUGAAACUGUGUGGCUGGAGUGCAGGAGAGGCAAGCGGAAUUCCUGGUGUAGCGGUGAAAUGCGUAGAUAUCAGGAGGAACACCAGUGGCGAAGGCGGCUUACUGGACUGUAACUGACGUUGAGGCUCGAAAGCGUGGGGAGCAAACAGGAUUAGAUACCCGGGUAGUC